rnacentral:lncRNA from 1 species
UUUUUUUUUUUUUUUUUUUAAAGUCAGUUUGCUUGAAUCAGGAUCCAAAUAAAACUUUUAGUUGAUAUCACUUAAUUUAUUUUAAUCUGUAAGUCUCUCUCCCUCUUUUUUAUUCCUUUUUUUUUUUUUUGAGACAGGGUCUCACUCUGCUGCCCAGACUAGAAUGCAGUGGCACAAUCACAGGUCACUGCAGCCUUGACCUCCCGGGCUCAACUGAUCCUCCCACCUCAGCCUCCUGAGUAGCUGCAACUAUAGACACACCACCAUGCCCAGCUAAUUUUUGUAUUUUUUGUAGACAUGGGGUUUUACCAUGUUGUCUAGGAUGGUCUCGAACUCCUGGACUCAAGCCUUGGCCUCCCAAAGUACUGGGAUUACAGGCGUGAGUCAUCAUACCUGGCCCCAAUUUUAUUUGUUAAGGGAAUUGAGUGUUUGUCCUAAUUUUCUUCAUUCUAGACUUUGCUGACUAUAUCCCUGGGGAAUGUAUCUUAUGUUAUUUUGUGUCCUUAUUUUUUCAUAUAACUUAGCAAACAUUUUCCCAUACUGCCACAGGGUUUUCAUAAUCUGUCCUAAAUGGCUUCAUACUAUUCCAUCCAGUGGAUAUACUGUAAUUUUUUUCUUGGGCAUUUGGUUGCUUUCAGUUUUUCACUACUAUAAAUAUUGCUGGAAUGAACAUCCUGACACAUUGCAGCUUUUCCUGUACAUGGGAUGACUUCCUUAGAAUAUGCUACCAGAAGUGUAAUUAUGGCUGUGAGGCAUGGAGAAUUUUUCAGCUUCUUGGCACACAGUGACAAUUGUUUGUCCAAGGGUUUGUGUGUCCCCCAGCACCAAAUAAGAGAGCUGUCACCCACUCUGAGUAGUGCUUAGGGCUAUUCACAGUUGAAGAACGUUUGGGGAAGACAUGGUAAUUAUGAGGGCAGAUUUAGAGAAGGAGAAAGAUGAUGACAGGGACUCCGGCUAAAUAAAGCAGAAAGUGAUCUGCAAUUUACCACAAACCUAGAAUGAGUCAGAACUCUGUUCAUUCCUAUUGUGAAAAAAAAAAAAUCCUUGAUAACAGGGGUUAUUAAUAGUGCAUGACAUGUCCAGUAAUCUUUCUGUUAGACUCUGCAUUAGUCAGAACCUCAUUGGAGACGUGGACUCAGUCUGGGUCACUGAACUUCAUAGAGAUGUCAGGAAACUGACCAAGACCCAGAGGGCUCGAUCAACUUGAUGGAGGAUGAAGAAUCCCAGAGAAAAAUCAAAGGAGUCAAGCAGGCUCACUUCGGAAAAAACAGGCACCUUUCUUGCCUUAAUGCGGGGGAGGUUUCUGUGGAAAGAACAACACUGGGUUUGCUUAUGUCUGCAGAAAGAUGCCUAUAAGGAAAGGCACCUCCACAAACCAGGAGAAACUUCCACAGGACACAGGCAGAGCUAUUUCAGACUCGGGUGAUUAUUUCGAUCUUGGGAUGAGCCCUUUUGGGGCCAUUGGCCCUGGAAAUAUUCAAGAAGCUGCCUGUUCUGCUCUGGGUGGUUCAAAUACCCACCUGCCUGGUGACCACCAAGUGUCUCUGGGGGUCCCACUCCAGCUGUGUGACAACUGUUUCCCGGCAGCUCCCUGGGGAAGGAAGGGUAGGUGGAGUCCGAGUGAAGUGCUCCCCAGUUUCCCUGGGCUAGCCUUUUCCUUCAUGUUCCCUCACUUUCAGUUCAGGGUGCCAUGAACUGCCAUUCAGAGUCAGGUUGGCAUGCCAUGACAUCAUCUGAUCUUGAUAUUCCAGCCCUGCCCUGCACAGAGUGGACUUAGAAAGAAGCUGGGUAGGGAGUUGAAACUACUCAGACAAGGCCUCUUGGUGACAUGGAGAAUGGGAGUCACCGAGGAGACCUCAAGAGCAACCUCCUAAAGUAAUAUUAAGUAGAUUCAUACAAUGCAACAGGUGCUUUACAUACAUUUUUUUGGGUUCCCACAACAUUGGAGGUGGGGUUUCGCAGGUGUGGAAUUGGAGAUUAAGACAAGUAAUUUGCCCAAGGUCACAUUGCCAAUAAAGGAGGGCCUGCCCUAUGUCUACCAGGCAGUAAAGUCUGUGCCCUUGCCUUUAGACGAUGCAGAUGUGAAAACUGUAGACCAGAACCUCUCAUUCAAAGCCACACAAGCUGACCUGAGACAGAAACUCAGGCUCCUUACUACUGAUCAAGGAAUCUAUGAUACGUGGCUUCUUCUCACGUCAGGUGCAGGGAGGCCAAGGAAGUGGCCCGGUCCGGGGCAGCCUGGGCCAAGAGUGACUGAGAAGGAGAAGGCAGGCUCCGUUCUGGGCCCUCCAGACCCUCACCCCAGCCAAUGUUGUGAAAAACGCGCUCCCAGGAGGGCCCAGCAGGGCAAAGGGCCAGGCUAGUCUGUUUCUGGAGGAGCCAAUCUGGGGCCGGGGCGGAGGCAGCCAGGUGCAGUGGAAAAACCCUGUACUUGGGGUCAGAAUAUCUGGGUUUCGAUCCAGUCUGGGACCCAGCAAAGACCUACAGCAAGUUACUUACAAGUCCGAGUCUCCUCAUCUGCAAAACUGGGGCACAGAUAAAAUACACUUGAAGGGCACAGGAGCAAAAGUUGGAAUUGUUACGCACCAAAAUUCUAUCAUCCGAUCUGACCACGUCACGGUGCAACUUCCAACCGCGCGUCCCCGGAGAGUCCGGGA